AGAGUUAGAUCCUGGCUCAGGACGAACGCUGGCGGCGUGCCUAAUACAUGCAAGUCGAACGAGAAAUUCUUACACCGAAUGCUUGCAUUCACCGUAAGAUUUCGAGUGGCGGACGGGUGAGUAACACGUGGGUAACCUGCCCAAGAGAAGGGGAUAACAUCUGGAAACAGGUGCUAAUACCGUAUAACCAUGAUGACCGCAUGGUCAUUAUGUAAAAGGUGGUUCUGCUAUCGCUCUUGGAUGGACCCGCGGCGUAUUAACUAGUUGGUGAGGUAACGGCUCACCAAGGUGAUGAUACGUAGCCGAACUGAGAGGUUGAUCGGCCACAAUGGGACUGAGACACGGCCCAUACUCCUACGGGAGGCAGCAGUAGGGAAUCUUCCACAAUGGGCGCAAGCCUGAUGGAGCAACGCCGCGUGAAUGAAGAAGGUCUUCGGAUCGUAAAGUUCUGUUGUUAGAGAAGAACACGUGUGAGAGUAACUGUUCAUGCGUUGACGGUAUCUAACCAGCAAGUCACGGCUAACUACGUGCCAGCAGCCGCGGUAAUACGUAGGUGGCAAGCGUUGUCCGGAUUUAUUGGGCGUAAAGGGAACGCAGGCGGUUUUUUAAGUCUGAUGUGAAAGCCUUCGGCUUAACCGGAGAUGUGCAUUGGAAACUGGAAAACUUGAGUGCAGAAGAGGAGAGUGGAACUCCAUGUGUAGCGGUGAAAUGCGUAGAUAUAUGGAAGAACACCAGUGGCGAAAGCGGCUCUCUGGUCUGUAACUGACGCUGAGGUUCGAAAGCGUGGGUAGCGAACAGGAUUAGAUACCCUGGUAGUCCACGCCGUAAACGAUGAGUGCUAGGUGUUGGGUCCUUUCCGGGACUCAGUGCCGCAGCUAACGCAUUAAGCACUCCGCCUGGGGAGUACGACCGCAAGGUUGAAACUCAAAGGAAUUGACGG
rnacentral:rRNA from 1 species